CGAACUACCGCUUUCCCCGUAACCAGGGAGACUGCAGUUUGCAGUGAUGUGGCUAAGAUACCCUUGUGCUAUUAAAGGCACAUUUACGUAUCUUUCAACGCAGUUUGUACCUUUGUUUAGGGUUCUAUUGAACUUUCUCUGUGCUCUUUAGAAAACCGUCGAAUAAAGGGAGGUCAUGGACCAAGUACAAAGCGGCAAAAGGAUGGAAUUAAGGUACCUGACAUUGUUGAACCCAUGCCUGAUGCCACAUUAGCUCAGGACUACCUACAUGGACAUGGAUAUUUCCAGUGAAAGAAAGAAGAAAGCAUGCUUUUCUCUUGACUGUGCAGAAAAAAAAACUAUGUUUCUUUGAUUCUCCAUUUUACUAGAUGCCAUACCUUUGCAAUUACUUCAUGUGGAGUCUUGACCAAGAUUCAGGAAAUACUAGAACUUUCAGUCCCAGAAGGUUACUCUGGGCAUUACUAGUCCCCAUCAUUAUGAGUUGAGUUUUACUAGUUAAUUUCAGACGAAAAAUAUUUGUUUUUCCCCAAAUUCUGGGGUUACGUACUUUUACUACCUAUGAACUGACAACUGUAUCUUCAGUAAUUACAAUUUCCAACAAAAUGUUAUAGGAAUAAAGAAAAGAUGUUAGUUCAUUAUUCAGAGUUUAUGUUUAUUCCUUUAAUAAAAAGAAAUGGUCUGUAUUUCUUCUUUUCACAUUUAUUUCCUCAGUUCAAACCUGCUUUUCAGG
rnacentral:lncRNA from 1 species